rnacentral:rRNA from 1 species
UACGGGGGGGGCAAGCGUUGUUCGGAAUUACUGGGCGUAAAGGGCUCGUAGGCGGCCAACUAAGUCAGACGUGAAAUCCCUCGGCUUAACCGGGGAACUGCGUCUGAUACUGGAUGGCUUGAGUUUGGGAGAGGGAUGCGGAAUUCCAGGUGUAGCGGUGAAAUGCAUAGAUAUCGUCAAGAACACCGAUAGCGAAGGCAGCUGACUAAGUUGUAACUGACGCUGAGGCACGAAAGUGUGGGGAUCAAACAGG